GAGUUUGAUCUUGGCUCAGAGUGAACGCUGGCGGUAGGCCUAACACAUGCAAGUCGAACGGCAGCACAGAGGAGCUUGCUCCUUGGGUGGCGAGUGGCGGACGGGUGAGGAAUACAUCGGAAUCUACUCUGUCGUGGGGGAUAACGUAGGGAAACUUACGCUAAUACCGCAUACGACCUACGGGUGAAAGCAGGGGAUCUUCGGACCUUGCGCGAUUGAAUGAGCCGAUGUCGGAUUAGCUAGUUGGCGGGGUAAAGGCCCACCAAGGCGACGAUCCGUAGCUGGUCUGAGAGGAUGAUCAGCCACACUGGAACUGAGACACGGUCCAGACUCCUACGGGAGGCAGCAGUGGGGAAUAUUGGACAAUGGGCGCAAGCCUGAUCCAGCCAUACCGCGUGGGUGAAGAAGGCCUCGGUUGUAAGU
rnacentral:rRNA from 1 species